UACGUAGGUGACAAGCGUUGUCCGGAUUUACUGGGCGUAAAGAGCGCGCAGGCGGUCGAUCAAGUCGAGUGUGAAAGCCCCCGGCUCAACUGGGGAGGGUCAUUCGAUACUGAUCGACUCGAAGGCAGGAGAGGGUAGUGGAAUUCCCGGGUGUAGUGGUGAAAUGCGUAGAUAUCGGGAGGAACACCAGUGGCGAAGGCGACUACCUGGCCUGUUCUUGACGCUGAGGCGCGAAAGCUAGGGGAGCAAGCGGG
rnacentral:rRNA from 1 species